GAAAUAGAAAGAAACAAAAGCAAAAACAAAACAGAAAGGGAAGGAAAGAAAGAAAGAAAGAAAGAAAGAACGAAAGAGACGAAGGCUUAGGGUUUUCAAUUGUUCAAAGCUCAAUCGCUAACGUCGUACCGGAACCCUCGAUUAAAAAGGGAAAAGAUAAAGUCGACGAGGAAUAGCUCGGCAUUUCCGAUUUGUAUUUCUAUAAUUCGAAUUUAGUUGUUAAUUGUUAUAAUUCAAUUUAAUGUAUAUGGUAAGUGUUGAGGUGAGAAUUAUUGUGUUUUGCAAUUGAAAUGGAUUGAUUUAGUAUGUGGUGAAUUUAUUGAAAUUAUAUCGA